rnacentral:rRNA from 1 species
UACGUAGGGUGCAAGCGUUAAUCGGAAUUACUGGGCGUAAAGCGUGCGCAGGCGGUUCUAUAAGACAGAUGUGAAAUCCCCGGGCUCAACCUGGGAACUGCAUUUGUGACUGUAGAGCUGGAGUGCGGCAGAGGGGGAUGGAAUUCCGCGUGUAGCAGUGAAAUGCGUAGAUAUGCGGAGGAACACCGAUGGCGAAGGCAGUGGGCUGGGCCGGCACUGACGCUGAGGAGCGAAAGCGUGGGGAGCGAACAGG